rfam:Danio rerio chromosome 4, GRCz11 reference primary assembly.
GCAUAGGUGGUUCAGUGGUAGAAUUCUCACCUGCCGCGUGGGAGACCUGGGUCUUAUUCCCAGCCAAUGCA